rnacentral:rRNA from 2 species
ACUUUGCUGACGAGCGGCGGACGGGUGAGUAAUGCUUGGGAACAUGCCUUGAGGUGGGGGACAACAGUUGGAAACGACUGCUAAUACCGCAUAAUGUCUACGGACCAAAGGGGGCUUCGGCUCUCGCCUUUAGAUUGGCCCAAGUGGGAUUAGCUAGUUGGUGAGGUAAUGGCUCACCAAGGCGACGAUCCCUAGCUGGUUUGAGAGGAUGAUCAGCCACACUGGGACUGAGACACGGCCCAGACUCCUACGGGAGGCAGCAGUGGGGAAUAUUGCACAAUGGGCGCAAGCCUGAUGCAGCCAUGCCGCGUGUGUGAAGAAGGCCUUCGGGUUGUAAAGCACUUUCAGUCAGGAGGAAAGGGUGGUGGUUAAUACCUGUCAUGUGUGACGUUACUGACAGAAGAAGCACCGGCUAACUCCGUGCCAGCAGCCGCGGUAAUACGGAGGGUGCGAGCGUUAAUCGGAAUUACUGGGCGUAAAGCGUACGCAGGCGGUUUGUUAAGCGAGAUGUGAAAGCCCCGGGCUCAACCUGGGAACUGCAUUUCGAACUGGCAAACUAGAGUGUGAUAGAGGGUGGUAGAAUUUCAGGUGUAGCGGUG